rnacentral:rRNA from 1 species
AUUGAACGCUGGCGGCAUGCCUAACACAUGCAAGUCGAACGCGAAAGGGUUUCGGCCUGAGUAGAGUGGCGGACGGGUGAGUAAAGCAUCGGAAUCUGCCUUGAGGUGGGGGACAACCCAGGGAAACUUGGGCUAAUACCGCAUGAUCUCGGGAGAGCAAAGUGGGGGACCCUUCGGGGCCUCAGGCCUUGGGAGGAGCCGAUGUCUGAUUAGCUCGGUGGUUGGGUAAGGGGUUACCAAGGCGACGAUCGGUAGCUGGUCUGAGAGGAUGGUCAGCCACACUGGGACUGAGACACGGCCCAGACGCCUACGGGAGGCAGCAGUGGGGAAUAUUGGACAAUGGGGGCAACCCUGAUCCAGCAAUGCCGCGUGUGUGAAGAAGGCCUGCGGGUUGUAAAGCACUUUUGUCCGGGAAGAAUGGACCUGACCUAAUACGUUGGGGGGAUGACGGUACCGGAAGAAUAAGCACCGGCUAACUUCGUGCCAGCCGCCGCAGUAAGAC